AGAACCUGAAACCGUGUGCUUACAAGUAGUCAGAGCCCGUUAAUGGGUGAUGGCGUGCCUUUUGUAGAAUGAACCGGCGAGUUACGAUUUGAUGCAAGGUUAAGCAGUAAAUGUGGAGCCGUAGCGAAAGCGAGUCUGAAUAGGGCGUUUAGUAUUUGGUCGUAGACCCGAAACCAGGUGAUCUACCCUUGGUCAGGUUGAAGUUCAGGUAACACUGAAUGGAGGACCGAACCGACUUACGUUGAAAAGUGAGCGGAUGAACUGAGGGUAGCGGAGAAAUUCCAAUCGAACCUGGAGAUAGCUGGUUCUCUCCGAAAUAGCUUUAGGGCUAGCCUCAAGUGAUGAUUAUUGGAGGUAGAGCACUGUUUGGACGAGGGGCCCCUCUCGGGUUACCGAAUUCAGACAAACUCCGAAUGCCAAUUAAUUUAACUUGGGAG
rnacentral:rRNA from 1 species